GGGCCCAGGAGGGGUUGGAGGGAUCGCGAGUUCGAGGCUCCAGUCUGUCGGUUGAGUCACGCGUCGAAAGCGUGGUGGUUUGGGAACUGUCAAGAGAAAUGCACAGAGACAAGUCUCUCGUCCAAGGCAACAUUGCUGAGCUAGGCUAGCAGCUGAACAUGCCUAUAAGCCUAGGAGAAGCUAAGGCAGGAGGAUCACCCAAACUUCGAGGCCAGCCUGGUCUACUUGGCAGGUGGAUCUCGGGGAGUUCAAGGCCAGCUGGGUCUACAGAGCCAGUUCCAAGACAGCCAGAGCUACACAAAGAACCCCCCUCCCCCACAAAAGAAAGGAAGGAAGGAAGGAAGAAAGAGAGUGUCUGCAUCAUAAAAGGUCUCACGCUGAGUGUCACCUCCUCAAGAAGGUCUCCUGACUGCAGCUAAUGCCUCCUGUCAUCCUCUGCUGCUCCUAUUUUAUUGGCUGGCUUCUCGCCUGGCAGUCCUGUCUCAUCAGGGUGGAACCUCUCUUUUCCCAUGUCCCAGCACCUGACAUUUGCUGGAAAGAGAGACUUUAGUGACCCUAAGUGUCAGCUUUCCCCAAAGCCUUGUGGACAAAGCUGGCCCUGCCAACCUAAUGAUGAUGGUAGCUGAUUACAAAGUAAACAAGGUGGCCGUUGUCACCAUGGCUAAAUUGGUUUCUGGUCAGGCAAGCCUGUAAAGUGCUCCAAUGUUCUCACUCGGGUUCUUGGAUUUCUCUUUGCAGAUUCCACUAAGGGAAGAAAUUAACAGUUCAAGUCAACCUUUUAAUCACCCCAGGACUUGUGGGUAGAGCAGAGAGUGUUUUCGAAGCAUGGGGUUGUUGCUGGCCCCUGACUGAGCGAGGCCAGCAAGUGGCCUUGACAGUAGUGGCAUUGGCCUACCAGUAAUGCAACUUAGAGCUUAGAAUCCGAAGUAACAGUCAAACUCUAAUGUUGCUUCAUCCGGGAGGUCCCUACUCCUUUCCCCUCUCUCGAUAACUCCCAACCCCGGCCCUUCACACGAGCCAUGACUUGAAGUGUUUGUCAUCAUCCCUUUACUGACUGUAAACUUUGUGAAUAAGUGAGGCUGAGUUGUGUUGCCCAACACCGUCCUCGUUGGGCUGGAAGUCUGCAAGUCAUUCUUCCCAAACCCCCACCUGUUCUAGAAUUCAGGAUGGCAAGGGCUUCUUUGCCUCUCAAAGACUGAAGCCCUUGGGAUGUCCAGCACAACCACCCAGUGCUGGGAGCACACAGGCAGGAUGGGCGCAGCUCCACCUCAGAGCCUCAAGAUUGGAUUUCCUAGCAGAAUUAGGCACCUGGAUCGCUUGGUGAGCCAGUCUCUGAGAUGGAGUACCAGUGGGGAAGUCAGAGUGCUGGCAUGGAAGGCAUAGGCUCCAGCCCUCAACUGUCUGGGCAUUAGUUAAACUCCAAAGUCCCCUUAUGUCCUUCAAACUGUUUGACUUUCUCAGGUGUAGUCAGUCACCGCUGAGACACAGUAAAGAGGGACAAUCGAUACACAACCCAGAACCAACAGCUGGCCUGGAUCAGAGAGCGUGUGGCUGUCACGUCAGAGUUUCCGAGCCCAGAGUCUGCCUCUUACAGCCUGUGUGCCCGCCGGACCAAGUUUCUUAACCUCUUGGUGUUGGCCUAGAUAAUUUCCUAUGAGAAAACACAACCGAAAGUGGCUUUUGCAAAAUGGGAAGUUUUUGGCUCAUGAAAAUGGGAAGUCUAAAAGCUGCUUGCUUCAGGCAUAGGGGCACAGACAAUGCCAUUCUGACUCUGGCUCCUCGGCCCCGUUCUCUGCUUGCCUUGUACUGGCUCCUGCAGAUGGCCUGGGAUGGCCCAGCAACCCUCUCUCCCAGCACAUAUCCUGGCAUGUAGUCUGCUAAGUUCCAUGGAGGGAGGGGCUGUCCAGAGGAGAACUUGGCAGAGGGAAGAAGCCAGGCUUACAGGGGUCAAUGACUUAACGGAGGCCUUGGAGCCAGCAAGGCCAACACAGGCUCUGAAUGUGGACCUCUCACCUAAGAGUCUGUGCCCUUCCCCAGGAUGUUGUACAAUCUCCCCAGGAAUUCCCAUGAGCUCUAAAAAUAGCACAAAUGGCUCCAAGAAUGCCAAUCAUGGUGACAUCUAUUACUUUAAAGACCAGGCGUGGUGGCACACGCCUGUAAUCCUGGCACUAGGGGGUGGAGGCAGAAUGUCCAGAGGUUCAGUGUCAUCCUUGACCAUAUAGAGGGUUCAAGUCCAGUCUGAGGUACAUGAGACCCUGUCUUGGAAAAAAAAAUUAUUUUUUUAACUUAACACUGUGAAAGUCUAUACCAUUAGGAGUCCCAUUUGAACUGCAGCACAGAGAAGUUAGGCAACUUGCCCACAGUUGCACAGGCUUGACGCAUGGUUCUGAAGUUGUGUUAGUCUGCAGUCCGCACCAUUUCAGGAAGGGAGGCGGCCCUACCCGAAGCUCCGCCCCACUCACAUCCUCCCUGGGCUCUUCAAAGCCUUCAAGAGACUCUCCCAUCGCCCCGCCCCCGGAAAACAUUUCAGACUUGAUUCCAGGCCAUUAUAAAUAAACACACAAAUAUAAUCCCAA